rnacentral:rRNA from 1 species
UUGGCCUUGACAUACUAAGAACUUUCCAGAGAUGGAUUGGUGCCUUCGGGAACUUAGAUACAGGUGCUGCAUGGCUGUCGUCAGCUCGUGUCGUGAGAUGUUGGGUUAAGUCCGCAACGAGCGCAACCCUUUUCCUUAUUUGCCAGCGGGUAAUGCCGGGAACUUUAAGGAUACUGCCAGUGACAAACUGGAGGAAGGCGGGGACGACGUCAAGUCAUCAUGGCCCUUACGGCCAGGGCUACACACGUGCUACAAUGGUCGGUACAAAGGGUUGCUACCUCGCGAGAGGAUGCUAAUCUCAAAAAGCCGAUCGUAGUCCGGAUCGCAGUCUGCAACUCGACUGCGUGAAGUCGGAAUCGCUAGUAAUCGCGGAUCAGAAUGCCGCGGUGAAUACGUUCCCGGGCCUUGUACACACCGCCCGUCACACCAUGGGAGUUCGUUGCACCAGAAGUAGGUAGUCUAACCGCAAGGAGGACGCUUACCACGGUGUGGCCGAUGACUGGGGUGAAGUCGUAACAAGGUAGGCGUAGAUGA